GACGAACGCUGGCGGCGUGCUUAACACAUGCAAGUCGAACGGAAAGGCCCUGCUUUUGUUGGGUGCUCGAGUGGCGAACGGGUGAGUAACACGUGAGUAACCUCCCCUUGACUUUGGGAUAACUUCAGGAAACUGGGGCUAAUACCGGAUAGGAUCUCCUGCUGCAUGGUGGGGUUUGGAAAGUUUCGGCGGUUGUGGAUGGACUCGCUGCUUCUCAGCUUGUUGGUGGGGUAGUGGCUUACCAAGGCUGUGACGGGUAGCCGGCCUGAGAGGGUUACCGGCCACAUGGGGACUGAGAGACGGCCCAGAAGGGUACGGGAGGCAGCAGGGGGGAAUAUUGCAGAAUGGGGGGAAGCCUGAGGCAGCAACGCCGCGUGCGGGAUGACGGCCUUCGGGUGGUAAACAGCUUUCGAAGGAGACGAAGAGUGAGUGACGGUAAUGGGUAAAGAAGCAACGGCUAACUACGUG
rnacentral:rRNA from 1 species